GGGUGGGUGAGGGGACUAAAUGCAGUGGACGAGUAAACCCAAUGAGCCUUAGCGAGAAAGCAGGAGGGUCAAGGAAUCAGUCACACAACCAGGAGCAGCUACACUGCUGCGUUGUUGCUGAUCCACCCGUAUCCAGGCUGAACUAUGAUUGUUGUCAGUGUGGAUCCGCUGGAUGCAGCAAGAGAAGCAGACGGGAAUCCCAUUUAUCUCUCUUUCCAUGCCCCGUGGCAGCGCAGGGGUCUUACAGAAUGAGGACCACCUACGAAGACUCAUGGAAUGCCGAAACACGCUGUUCAAAGGGAUCCAAAAACAAACAAACUGAAAACAAAAAAUACUUAAUGUUGUGUUUUAUGACUUUGUUCGUUAUACCAUUGUGACUUUUUUUUACGUGACAUCUUCACGAUUACCAUACUAUAACAUCAUUUCUGAGGACUUUUUUGACACCCCAUACUAUACUAUGUUAUGCUAUUAUUUAUAUUUUAAGUUGGACAAUUGUGGUUUUUGAAACCCCCUUUUUCUUCUAAUAUAUAUAAUAUAUCAUGAAUGAAUUAGGAUUCUGAUCCUAUCAAGCUCUUAGAUUGUUUAUUUUCUGUGCCUUCAUUUCACAUUAGAGUGGGUAAGUGUGCUCAAAAGAGUUGUACUUCAUCUCACAUCUGCUGUUCGCACUGACGGUUUUAAUAUUCGCCACGGUCUCUUAACAUCUGAGACUUACUGAUUGUGAACUGCCCGUGGGAAGAAUUAACACAGAGUCUGUGGAUUCUUGGUUAGAGACUCAACACACUCCUCAUUUUGGGGAACGCCAAGUGGAACAAUUUCUAACCGGCAUAAUUCUCAUUCUCUCUUCCGUCUCUCAUGUCUCACUUA